rnacentral:rRNA from 1 species
GAUGAACGCUGGCGGCGUGCUUAACACAUGCAAGUCGAACGGUGAAGGCGGAGCUUGCUCUGCUGGAUCAGUGGCGAACGGGUGAGUAACACGUGAGCAAUCUGCCCCUGACUCUGGGAUAAGCGCUGGAAACGGCGUCUAAUACUGGAUACGAGCUGCGAAGGCAUCUUCAGCAGCUGGAAAGAAUUUCGGUCAGGGAUGAGCUCGCGGCCUAUCAGCUUGUUGGUUAGGUAAUGGCUCACCAAGGCGUCGACGGGUAGCCGGCCUGAGAGGGUGACCGGCCACACUGGGACUGAGACACGGCCCAGACUCCUACGGGAGGCAGCAGUGGGGAAUAUUGCACAAUGGGCGAAAGCCUGAUGCAGCAACGCCGCGUGAGGGACGACGGCCUUCGGGUUGUAAACCGCUUUUAGCAGGGAAGAAGCGAAAGUGACGGUACCUGCAGAAAAAGCGCCGGCUAACUACGUG